rnacentral:rRNA from 1 species
GAUGAACGCUGGCGGCGUGCCUAAUACAUGCAAGUCGAGCGAACGGACGAGAAGCUUGCUUCUCUGAUGUUAGCGGCGGACGGGUGAGUAACACGUGGAUAACCUACCUAUAAGACUGGGAUAACUUCGGGAAACCGGAGCUAAUACCGGAUAAUAUUUUGAACCGCAUGGUUCAAAAGUGAAAGACGGUCUUGCUGUCACUUAUAGAUGGAUCCGCGCUGCAUUAGCUAGUUGGUAAGGUAACGGCUUACCAAGGCAACGAUGCAUAGCCGACCUGAGAGGGUGAUCGGCCACACUGGAACUGGGACACGGUCCAGACUCCUACGGGAGGCAGCAGUAGGGAAUCUUCCGCAAUGGUCGAAAGCCUGACGGAGCAACGCCGCGUGAGUGAUGAAGGUCUUCGGAUCGUAAAACUCUGUUAUUAGGGAAGAACAUAUGUGUAAGUAACUGUGCACAUCUUGACGGUACCUAAUCAGAAAGCCACGGCUAACUACGUG